UUAGUUUAAGUGUUAAAUUUUUAAAACGUCGGAAAUUAACCGUGCCUAGGCAUCCCGUCCUUAAUUGGUCCGUAAGUCAUGCGGUGUUCGAAGUUCGGCAAUGUUUUCACGUAAUAUUGAUUUGACACUUAAACUCAUUUU
rnacentral:sRNA from 1 species